rnacentral:rRNA from 1 species
GACAGAGGGUGCAAACGUUGUUCGGAAUUACUGGGCGUAAAGCGCGUGUAGGCUGCUCAGAAAGUCGGAUGUGAAAGCCCUGGGCUUAACCUAGGAAGUGCAUUCGAAACUUCUGAGCUUGAGUUCUGGAGAGGAAGGCGGAAUUCUCGGUGUAGAGGUGAAAUUCGUAGAUAUCGAGAGGAACACCGGUGGCGAAGGCGGCCUUCUGGACAGUGACUGACGCUGAGACGCGAAAGCGUGGGGAGCAAACGGG